rnacentral:rRNA from 1 species
AUGGUGAAGAUACUGGAGAUCGGACUGGGGCGGCUCGACGCCGAGGAGGACGACGACUGCUGCGAGAUAGACCCCGCCGAGUUCGCCAAGAAGGUGAAUCGCAAAGCAUCAGAUGACGACGACGUGGUCGUCGUUGCGGCCAAAGGCCCGAUCAAAGUCAAGGUGGAAUUAGAUUGGUCGGAGCAUUCCGCAGAAACUUUGGAUGGACGCGCCAACAGUAAUGGCGGCCUGCAUGGACGCAUCGCUGGUGAUCGCUUGGAUAACCCUUUGAAGAUUGAAGAAGAUGAACCAACUAUCCAUCAGAUGGGGCCUCUUGAGGCCAAGCCUGAUGUCAAAAGCAUCCCUGGCGAGCCACUGCUGGUGAUGUCCGAUUCCGAAUUGCCCUUUGGGGGGCUCUUCGCUGACAUGUGCCCGGUGAAGAGCGAACUUGAAGAUGGCAACGGCGGCGCCGGUGCUGUGGGUGAACCCAUCAAGGAGGAAAUCAUCCCUGACAUGUCGCCGCUGAAAUGCGGGUCUGGAUGCUUUGAGGAGGACGUCAUUCCUGACUUGUCGCCAAUAACGCGCAACAGUGGCACUGAUGAACUCUUCAAGGAGAAAACCAUCCCUGACAAGCCACUGCUGAAGUCUGAAUCUAAAUACUUUGAGGAUGUUACUGUUCCUGUCAUGUCGCCAAUAAAGCAUGAUGAUCAUGGUGCCGAUGAGCGUGUUGGAGAAGAAGAUGGGUAUGACCAUCUCCCAGAGAUGGAUAGACUCAACCCUGAGGGAAGAGAUUUUGAUGAAGACGGUGACUACGUUGUCGUAGUAGCGAAAGAGGCUCUCUGA